rnacentral:tRNA from 1 species
UAACUCAGUUGGAGAGCACUCCACUGGAAAUGGAGAGGUUCCUGGUUUGAUACCAGG